rnacentral:lncRNA from 1 species
AACCAGAUGCUCCGCAGGGCGCAGCUUUAUACAACCACAGAGGUCGAACCCUGAACAGUUGGGGCAAGUAUGGACACAACAUUUAAGCUUGAUACAGCUCUGAAUUUGGAUUGUGAUUAAAUAGUUGACACAACAUAGGUUUCUGACACAGAAUGAAUGUGGUCUAAGAACUAAAACUUAAAAACUUUAAAAAUUUUAAAUUGGACGUUUACCUAUUAUGGUCCAAUAUCCCAAAUCUAAAUACAUGGUUAGAUUCAGC